CCUACGGGUCGCUGCAGUGGGGAAUAUUGGACAAUGGGCGAAAGCCUGAUCCAGCCAUGCCGCGUGUGUGAAGAAGGCCUUCGGGUUGUAAAGCACUUUCAGUGGGGAAGAAAGCCUUGGGGCUAAUACCCUCGAGGAAGGACAUCACCCACAGAAGAAGCACCGGCUAACUCCGUGCCAGCAGCCGCGGUAAUACGGAGGGUGCGAGCGUUAAUCGGAAUUACUGGGCGUAAAGCGCGCGUAGGCGGUCUGAUAAGCCGGUUGUGAAAGCCCCGGGCUCAACCUGGGAACGGCAUCCGGAACUGUCAGGCUAGAGGGCAGGAGAGGAAGGUAGAAUUCCCGGUGUAGCGGUGAAAUGCGUAGAGAUCGGGAGGAAUACCAGUGGCGAAGGCGGCCUUCUGGACUGACACUGACGCUGAGGUGCGAAAGCGUGGGUAGCAAACAGGAUUAGAUACCCCUGUAGUC
rnacentral:rRNA from 1 species